rnacentral:rRNA from 1 species
CCCUUAGAUGCUCUGGGCCGCACGCGCGCUACACUGGUCGAUGCAACGAGUUUCUUUCCUUGGCCGACAGGCCUGGGCAAUCUUUGAACAUCGAUCGUGAUCGGGAUAGAUUCUUGUAAUUUUUGAUCUUAAACGAGGAAUUCCUAGUAAACGCAAGUCAUCAGCUUGCAUUGAUUACGCCCCUGCCCUUUGUACACACCGCCCGUCGCACCUACCGAUUGAAUGGUCCGGUGAAAUCUCCGGACUGGCGUGAGUCGGAGCAAUCUGACAAACGCCGGAAAGUUGAUUAAACCUUACCAUUUAGAGGAAGGUGAAGUCGUAACA